rnacentral:rRNA from 1 species
UACGUAGGGCGCAAGCGUUAUCCGGAAUUAUUGGGCGUAAAGAGCUCGUAGGCGGUUUGUCGCGUCUGCUGUGAAAACGCGAGGCUCAACCUCGGACUUGCAGUGGGUACGGGCAGACUAGAGGUGUGGUAGGGGAGACUGGAAUUCCUGGUGUAGCGGUGGAAUGCGUAGGAUAUGCGGAGGAACACCGAUGGCGAAGGCAAUCCCCUGGACCUGUACUGACGCUCAUGCACGAAAGCGUUGGGGAGCAAACAG